AGUCCAUGAGUAGGACCUUCACUGUGUCCGUCAAAGAGGAGGGAGCGCUGGAUGUCGAACCCGAAGGUCUCUCAGACGGAGCCAUCGCUGGAAUCGUCAUCGCCAUCCUCGUGGCCUGGGAGCCGCCAUCGGCUUAAUCAUUUACUGCAGACAGAAAGUACCGGUCGAGUCUCCGUACUAAAAGAAGGAAGAAGUUCCUGUUUUUCUCUGCUGGAGACGACGCCUCAAACAUCCGACCAUUUUUGUUUCCCAUGAUCCUCUCUGUUCAACCAUGA